ensembl:lncRNA
UGCAGGAUGUUCUGUCUGAUGCAGGAUGUUCUGUCUGAUGCAGGGUGUUCUGUCUGAUGCGGUGUUCUGUCUGAUGCAGGGUUCUGUCUGAUGCAGGGUGUCUGUCUGAUGCAGGGUGUUCGUCUGAUGCAGGGUGUUCUGUCUGAUGCAGGAUGUUCUGUCUGAUGCACUGUGUUCUGUCUGAUGCAGGAUGUUCUGUCUGAUGCAGGGUGUUCUGUCUGAUGCACUG